AGAACUUAGCAGAGAUGCUUGGUGCCUUCGGGAACGUCUGAGACAGGUGCUGCAUGGCUGUCGUCAGCUCGUGUUGUGAAAUGUUGGGUUAAGUCCCGCAACGAGCGCAACCCUUAUCCUUUGUUGCCAGCGGUCCGGCCGGGAAACUCAAAGGAGACUGCCAGUGAUAAACUGGAGGAAGGUGGGGAUGACGUCAAGUCAUCAUGGCCCUUACGAGUAGGGCUACACACGUGCUACAAUGGCGCAUACAAAGAGAAGCGACCUCGCGAGAGCAAGCGGACCUCAUAAAGUGCGUCGUAGUCCGGAUUGGAGUCUGCAACUCGACUCCAUGAAGUCGGAAUCGCUAGUAAUCGUAGAUCAGAAUGCUACGGUGAAUACGUUCCCGGGCCUUGUACACACCGCCCGUCACACCAUGGGAGUGGGUUGCAAAAGAAGUAGGUAGCUUAACCUUCGGGAGGGCGCUUACCACUUUGUGAUUCAUGACUGGGGUGAAGUCGUAACAAGGUAAGCGUAGCGAG
rnacentral:rRNA from 1 species